rnacentral:rRNA from 1 species
UACGUAGGCAGCGAGCGUUGUUCGGAGUUACUGGGCGUAAAGGGUGUGUAGGCGGUUGUUUUAAGUUUGGUGUGAAAUCUCCCGGCUCAACUGGGAGGGUGCGCCGAAUACUGAAUGACUCGAGUGUGGGAGAGGUGAGUGGAAUUCCUGGUGUAGCGGUGAAAUGCGUAGAUAUCAGGAGGAACACCGGUGGUGUAGACGGCUCUCUGGACCGUAACUGACGCUGAGACACGAAAGCGUGGGUAGCAAACAGG